GACGAACGCUGGCGGCGUGCUUAACACAUGCCAGUCGAACGGAAAGGCCCUGCUUUUGUGGGGUGCUCGAGUGGCGAACGGGUGAGUAACACGUGAGUAACCUGCCCUUGACUUUGGGAUAACUUCAGGAAACUGGGGCUAAUACCGGAUAGGAGCUCCUGCUGCAUGGUGGGGGUUGGAAAGUUUCGGCGGUUGGGGAUGGACUCGCGGCUUAUCAGCUUGUUGGUGGGGUAGUGGCUUACCAAGGCUUUGACGGGUAGCCGGCCUGAGAGGGUGACCGGCAAAAUGGGGAGUGAGAUACGGCCAAGCCUCCGACGGGGGCAAGCGGGGGGAAAUAUGGCACAAGGGGGGGAAGCCUGAUGCAGCAACGCCGGGGGGGGGAUGAGGCCCUUCGGUUUGUAAACCGCUUUCGCCUGUGACGAGGGGGGAGUGAGGGUAAGGGAUAAAGAAGCCCCGGCAAACUACGUG
rnacentral:rRNA from 1 species